AGAGUUUGAUCAUGGCUCAGGACGAACGCUGGCGGCGUGCCUAACACAUGCAAGUGGAGCGACGAACCAGGGCGUGCCCUGGGGCAGAGCCGCGAACGGGUGAGUAACACGUGGGUCACCUGCCUCGAUGACCGGGACAACCCAAGGAAACUCGGGCUAAUACCGGAUGUGCCCGCAAGGGGAAAGGAAGCUUCGGCCUC
rnacentral:rRNA from 1 species